GUAACCUCUGGAGCUUCAGUUUUCAGGCCUGAAAAGGGGGACAGGGAUGGGUUUCAGGCAAUGAACUCCAUUCAAAGUAUUUCCCGGUAUUUCUAGAAGUUCCUGAAGACACUCUCUUGCCGCCCUGCCUGUGCGGACGCUGCUGAAGGCCUCCACCCUGCUCUGUGCUCCUCCCCAUCUCCCACGUGCCUACCGUCUGCUCGCAAGGCCGCUGGCUGCAGCUUCGUCAAGGCCGGAGUGUCUCCAGGGUCACCGUCCACCGUGAGAACACGGCCCACAAGGAUCAACGCCCCUAGAGCCUGCUCCUUGUGUUCCUCUGUGUGGCCUCGCGCUGGGGGAGGGAACGGGCUCCACUGCCUCGAAGCUGUCUCAGCCCCGAGUGCAGAGCCUCCUGCACUUGGUUUCACAUCAGAACAAAACAGGAGGUGUGGAUGAGGGAGCGUCUUCAGCUCGGACAGGAAGGAAGGGUGUCAGCAGUUGGGGAAGGAAAAGGAACCUGAUCGGGAACCACUGUUUUCAUCAACGUUGCUCUGGAGCUCUGUCGGGGUAUUUUCCCUCCCUGAGUGACAACUGUAUUGAUGCACAAAGUAAAUGAGAAAAUACUC
ensembl:lncRNA